rnacentral:rRNA from 1 species
UAGGGAAUCUUCGGCAAUGGGGGGAACCCUGACCAAGCAACGCCGCGUGAGUGAAGAAGGUUUUCGGAUCGUAAAGCUCUGUUGUUAAGGAAGAACGAGUGUGAGAAUGGAAAGUUCAUGCUGUGACGGUACUUAACCAGAAAGGGACGGCUAACUACGUGCCAGCAGCCGCGGUAAUACGUAGGUCCCGAGCGUUGUCCGGAUUUAUUGGGCGUAAAGCGAGCGCAGGCGGUUAGAAAAGUCUGAAGUGAAAGGCAGUGGCUCAACCAUUGUAGGCUUUGGAAACUGUUUAACGUGAGUGCAGAAGGGGAGAGUGGAAUUCCAUGUGUAGCGGUGAAAUGCGUAGAUAUAUGGAGGAACACCGGUGGCGAAAGCGGCUCUCUGGUCUGUAACUGACGCUGAGGCUCGAAAGCGUGGGGAGCGAACAGG